rnacentral:rRNA from 1 species
GAAUAUUGGACAAUGGACGGAAGUCUGAUCCAGCCAUCCCGCGUGCAGGAUGAAUGCCCUAUGGGUUGUAAACUGCUUUUGUACAGGAAGAAACGCCUGGAUUUAUCCGGGCCUGACGGUACUGUAAGAAUAAGCACCGGCUACCUCCGUUCCAGCAGCCGCGGUAAUACGGAGGGUGCAAGCGUUAUCCGGAAUCACUGGGUUUAAAGGGUGCGUAGGCGGCUUAGUAAGUCAGGAGUGAAAGCCUGCGGCUUAACCGUAGAAUUGCUUUUGAUACUGCUGAGCUUGAAUUAGGUUGAGGUUGGCGGAAUGUGACAUGUAGCGGUGAAAUGCAUAGAUAUGUCAUAGAACACCAAUUGCGAAGGCAGCUGACUAGACCUUAAUUGACGCUGAGGCACGAAAGCGUGGGUAGCAAACAGG